rnacentral:rRNA from 2 species
UGCGAGCGUGACGGCGCGAGCAGGUGCGAAAGCAGGUCAUAGUGAUCCGGUGGUUCUGAAUGGAAGGGCCAUCGCUCAACGGAUAAAAGGUACUCCGGGGAUAACAGGCUGAUACCGCCCAAGAGUUCAUAUCGACGGCGGUGUUUGGCACCUCGAUGUCGGCUCAUCACAUCCUGGGGCUGAAGUAGGUCCCAAGGGUAUGGCUGUUCGCCAUUUAAAGUGGUACGCGAGCUGGGUUUAGAACGUCGUGAGACAGUUCGGUCCCUAUCUGCCGUGGGCGCUGGAGAACUGAGGGGGGCUGCUCCUAGUACGAGAGGACCGGAGUGGACGCAUCACUGGUGUUCGGGUUGUCAUGCCAAUGGCACUGCCCGGUAGCUAAAUGCGGAAGAGAUAAGUGCUGAAAGCAUCUAAGCACGAAACUUGCCCCGAGAUGAGUUCUCCCUGAGACUUAGAGUCUCCUGAAGGAACGUUGAAGACGACGACGUUGAUAGGCCGGGUGUGUAAGCGCAGCGAUGCGUUGAGCUAACCGGUACUAAUGAACCGUGAGGCUUAACCUU